CCUACGGGUGGCUGCAGUGGGGAAUAUUGGACAAUGGGGGCAACCCUGAUCCAGCCAUGCCGCGUGUGUGAAGAAGGCCCUCGGGUUGUAAAGCACUUUCAGUGAGGAAGAACGCCUGGUGGUUAAUACCCAUCAGGAAAGACAUCACUCACAGAAGAAGCACCGGCUAACUCCGUGCCAGCAGCCGCGGUAAUACGGAGGGUGCGAGCGUUAAUCGGAAUUACUGGGCGUAAAGCGCGCGUGGUGGCUUGAUAAGCCGGUUGUGAAAGCCCCGGGCUCAACCUGGGAACGGCAUCCGGAACUGUCAAGCUAGAGUGCAGGAGAGGAAGGUAGAAUUCCCGGUGUAGCGGUGAAAUGCGUAGAGAUCGGGAGGAAUACCAGUGGCGAAGGCGGCCUUCUGGACUGACACUGACACUGAGGUGCGAAAGCGUGGGUAGCAAACAGGAUUAGAUACCCUUGUAGUC
rnacentral:rRNA from 1 species